AAAGUUUGAUCCUGGCUCASAGUGAACGCUGGCGGCGUGCUUAACAYAUGCARGUCGAACGAUGAAGUYMUUCGGGAUGGAUUAGUGGCGCACGGGUGAGUAAUAUAUAGUUAAUGUACCUUCAAGACUGGGAUAGCCACUGGAAACGGUGAUUAAUACUAGAUAUACCUCUCUAACAUAAGUUAGAGUGGGAAAUGUUUUUUCGCUUGAAGAUCAGACUAUAUCCCAUCAGUUUGUUGGUGAGGUAAUGGCUCACCAAGGCAAUGACGGGUAGCGGGUUUGAGAGGAUGAUCCGCCACACUGGUACUGAGACACKGACCARACUCCKRSGGGAGGYASCAGUGAGGAAUAUUGCACAAUGGGGGAAACCCUGAUGCARCAWCGCCGCGUGGAGGAUGACGCAUUUCGGUGUGUAAACUCCUUUUAUGAKUCAAGAAAAUGACGGUAGCUCAUGAAUAAGCACCGGCUAACUCCG
rnacentral:rRNA from 1 species